AGGGGUGGGAUUAAAGAGCUGAGGUCUAUGGUGAUAGGUGGGAUGGCCUGAGAGAGGUGGUAUUAAAGAGCUGAGGUCUAUGGUGAUAGGUGGGAUUGGCUGAGAGAGUUGGGAUUAAAGAGCUGAGGUCUAUGGUGAUAGGUGGGAUGGGCUGAGGGGGUGGGAUUAAAGAGCUGAGGUCUAUGGUGAUAGGUGAGAUGGGCUGAGGGGUGGGAUUAAAGAUCUGAGGUCUAUGGUGAUAGGUGGGAUGGGCUGAGAGAGGUUGUAUUAGAGAGCUGAGGUCUAUGGUGAUAGGUGGGAUUAAAGAGCUGAUGUUUGGUAAUGUAUUAGUGUUAUGUGACUGCUUUAUACAAAAAUAUGUCAAAUAUUAAAUAUUUAAUAUUAAUUAAUAUUAAUAUUAAAAGGUCAAUGUAAAAUAUCUGUACAGUACCAGUCUAAAGUUUGGAUACAAUUUCUCAAUCCAGGGUUUUUCUUAAUGUUGUACUAUUUUCUACAUUGUAUAAUAAUAGUGAAGACAUUAAAACUAUGUUGGGAGGCCCACUUUUUUGUUUUUCUUUUCCUGUUGAUACUGAUUGUGUUAUUUAUUAUUAAACUAUAUUUCUUAACAGUUUUUUUCUUUUCUAAGGGUACAGGUUUUAUUCACUUACAAUUUGACAUGGAUAAUGAACCUGUAACCCAAAAAUUAUUAAACAAAUUAAGAAUUUAACCGACUGGCACCCGGGCUAGCAGGACAACCUCUCACCUAUAAAAGAUCGUUACUUAAGAUAUUAUUUAUAGUUUACAGUUUUUAAUUCAGUCAUGCUUCUUUGUAUUGCCCCCUUAUGGAAAUAAGGCUCCUUCAUAACAGACAUAGAGGCUCAACUGGUUUCCAUUUAGAGACUGAAACCGUGACGUGAAAUGGAACAACCGAGUUUGGAUUCAGGCUAGUAAUUUUUGCUCUGUUGUGACAGAAACCUAUACGUCUUCAACAAGGUAAUUUGUAAAAAGGACACAGAGAUAGGGCCUACCUGAACAACGAGCAAGCAAUCAUUGUUACCUGUCUGUGUCAUCGAAACCAGGGCAAUGUUCCACACUGUUGCUCCUCUUUCUUUCUGCCAGCUACUUAAAGCAGUUCUUGCCUCUCAUACACUUGGAGACGAAAUAUUGACUUUACAUUGCAGCCGGUAAAUGUUAAAAGAAUAUAUUAAUUAGGAAGAAAAUCAAACUACAAAUGCAUGGAUACUGGAGUGUUUUUGUCUACAUUCAUUUUAUUUUGAAAUGUGUCCUAUUUAAUGCAAGGCCCUCAUGCACUGUGUUGACAUUAUGGAUUUUCCCCACUCAUAUUUAUAUAAAUAAAUGUUGCCCAGAAAGAAUGUUGAUGUUAUGAUCUGACCAAAUACAGAGC
ensembl:lncRNA